AUAUUGCACAAUGGAGGAAACUCUGAUGCAGCGACGCCGCGUGAAUGAUGAAGGCCUUCGGGUCGUAAAAUUCUGUCCUAGGAGACGAUAAUGACGGUACCCUAGGAGGAAGCCCCGGCUAACUACGUGCCAGCAGCCGCGGUAAUACGUAGGGGGCGAGCGUUGUCCGGAAUUAUUGGGCGUAAAGGGUUCGCAGGCGGUUUUUUAAGUCAGAUGUGAAAGGCUACGGCUCAACCGUGGUAAGCAUUUGAAACUGAAAGACUUGAGUUAAGGAGAGGAAAGUGGAAUUCCUAGUGUAGCGGUGAAAUGCGUAGAUAUUAGGAGGAAUACCAGUGGCGAAGGCGACUUUCUGGACUUAUACUGACGCUGAGGAACGAAAGCGUGGGGAGCAAACAG
rnacentral:rRNA from 1 species